GUGAGCAUAGUUUAACGAAGACGUCAGAUUGUGAUUCUGAAAAUAGAGGUUAGUACCCUCUUGCCCACC
rnacentral:tRNA from 1 species